rnacentral:rRNA from 1 species
CAGUCGCCACGGUAAUACGAAGGGGGCUAGCGUUGCUCGGAAUCACUGGGCGCAAAGGGUGCGUAGGCGGGUCUUUAAGUCAGGGGUGAAAUCCUGGAGCUCAACUCCAGAACUGCCUUUGAUACUGAAGAUCUUGAGUUCGGGAGAGGUGAGUGGAACUGCGAGUGUAGAGGUGAAAUUCGUAGAUAUUCGCAAGAACACCAGUGGCGAAGGCGGCUCACUGGCCCGAUACUGACGCUGAGGCACGAAAGCGUGGGGAGCAAACAGGAUUAGAUACCCCAGUAGUCCCUGUCUCUUAUAC